rnacentral:rRNA from 1 species
GGGGCCACAUGGCCACCGUUGUUAAAUCCCUCGGGAGCCUAACGAUGAACCUGCAUGCCAUUAGCUAGUUGGUAGGGUCAAAGCCUACCAAGGCAAUGAUGGCUAGGGGGUCUGAUAGGAUGAUCCCCCACACUGGGACUGAGACACGGCCCACACUCCUACGGGAGGCAGCAGUGAGGAAUCUUGCGCAAUGGGGGCAACCCUGACGCAGCCACGCCGCGUGCUGGAAGACGGCCCUAUGGGUUGUAAACAGCUUUUACUGGGGAAGAACCUGGACCUUUCGAGGACCACUGACGGUACCCAGUGAAUAAGCACCGGCUAACUCCGUGCCAGCAGCCGCGGUAAUACGGAGGGUGCAAGCGUUGUCCGGAAUCAUUGGGUGUAAAGGGUGUGCAGGCGGAAGUCUAAGUCAGAGGUGAAAUCUUGCCGCUUAACGGUAAAAUGGCCUUCGAAACUGGAUUUCUUGAGUUCGGAAGAGGUUGGUGGAAUUCGUGGUGUAGCGGUGAAAUGCAUAGAUAUCACGAAGAACACCGGUGGCGAAGGCGGCCAACUGGUCCGAUACUGACGCUGAGACACGAAAGCGUGGGGAGCGAACAGGAUUAGAUACCCUGGUAGUCCACGCUGUAAACGAUGCAUGCUAGUUGUUG